UUUCAAGUGACAUGAGAUUCUGCUUAGUUGGGCUUGGUGGCUCACACCUGUAACCCCAGCACUUUAAGAGGCCUAGAUGGGCGGAUCGCUUGAGCUCAGGAGUUUGAGACCAGCCUGGCAACAUGGUGAAACCCCAUCUCUACAAAAAAGUACAAAAAUUAGCCAGGCAUAGUGGCAUGAGCACCUGUAGUCCCACCUACUGAGGGUUGCAGGGGGAGCUGAGAUGGGAGGAUCCUGGGAGGUUGAGGUUGCAGUGCCCAUGCACUCCAGCCUGGGUGACAGAAUGAGACCCUGUCUCAAAAAAAAAAAAAAAAAAGAAAAGAAAGAAAAGGAAAAAAGAAGGUCUGCUCGAACUGAUUGCAACCAGCAAGGAGAUUUGUGGGCUCACAGAAGUGAAAGUACAGGGAUGCCUGCCUCGGGGCUGAUGCAGGACAGAAACAUAGAACAGCCACUCCCCAUACUGGAGCUGCCUAGCUGGAAAGGGGCAGGUUGAGAUUGCUCUCAGGUGGCCUGAAGGCAAAAGCUGCAUAUUAGCCACCACUCAGAACACGUGCUAGGGUCUAGAGGACGGAGGCAAAUCUGGAAACAGCUGCCUGUCCACCAUGACUGCCUGCAAUUUGCUAAGACCACCUGCAAUUUGCUAAGCGCUGAUAGGGAGGCCAGGCUCAGCUCAGAGAGCUCAGCUCCUGCAGACCUAGUCGAAUGUUUCUUGCUAGAUUUUGUUUUAUGUACUUUUGUAACCAAAUGCUCCCAUUUUUUCUAAGAAAAACGGAAUGAAUUACUUUUUUUUAUUAUCAUUUUCUAUUCUCUCCCCUUUCCCUCCUUCCUGUUUCCUACUCAGCCCUUCAGAAAUGCAAAUGUAACCGUUCAUCUCCCCCUAGACAUUCCCUUCAGGGCAAUUUCUUCAACGGCUCCAAGACAGAGCUUUCCUUGAGAGCUGACAGUCGAUUUGCUGACAGUUGAUUUGCAGACCGAAGCGUACCUGCCACGGAACUUUUACCUCCAUGGGGUGGCCUUGGAACUUCUGCUCUGCAAGCUGGAAGUGACCUUCAUCCUCCAGGAGGGUGUGAGCCACGGUGCCCCAACCAAGCCAUUUUCAUUGACAAUAAAAUCUCCCACAUUUGCUCUCC